GGACUACCCGGGUAUCUAAUCCUGUUUGCUACCCAAGCCUUCGUUCCUCAACGUCAGUUAUUAGAUAAAAGGCUGCUUUCGCCGUUGUCAGUCGUUAUGGUAUCAAAAAAUUUCAUCUCUACUCCAUAAAUACUCUCCUUCUUCUAUAAAACUCUAGCAAUAAUGUACCCUAAUUUGGGCUAAUAAUACCGUCUAGGUACCCUUUAAACCUAAUAAAGAUGAAUAACACUAGUCUUUUACGUAUUACCGCGGCUGCUGGCAC
rnacentral:rRNA from 1 species